AUCACUUCUGAGCCUUUUGGCUAAGAUCAAGUAUAGUGUCUGUUCUUAUCAGUAAAAGGGAAUUUCUUUGAAAUACAUAAAAACACAAGAGAAAAUUUUAUAGGCCACUUCAUGCAGUAGAAUAGACAAU
rnacentral:snRNA from 1 species